AAGGGAGACCUAAUUCAGGUAGGAGACGAAAAAAAAGUAGUCCCAACCAAGAAUCAAUCCCAAAAGGUCGGAGCGAGGCGAAAUUGGCUUUCAAACUAGGUUCUGGGUUCACACAAGACCUGAAUCAGGAACAAGGGCUAUUAGCUCAGGUGGUUAGAGCGCACCCCUGAUAAGGGUGAGGUCCCUGGUUCGAGUCCAGGAUGGCCCACCUGCACAGGUGGCAAAAACAAGAGAAGCGAGGAAUCAGCACCUUAUCUUAUCUAUAUAUAUAGGAGAGAAUGCUGGCUCUGAGUAAAGAGUCCAGAGGAACCUUGAAAACUGCAUAGAGCUAGGUGAAAAAGCCAAAAAAGAAGACCGCAA
rnacentral:tRNA from 1 species